rnacentral:rRNA from 1 species
UACGUGGGGGGCAAGCGUUGUUCGGAAUUACUGGGCGUAAAGGGCGCGUAGGUGGCCAACUAAGUCAGACGUGAAAUCCCUCGGCUUAACCGGGGAACUGCGUCUGAUACUGGAUGGCUUGAGUGUGGGAGAGGGAUGCGGAAUUCCAGGUGUAGCGGUGAAAUGCGUAGAUAUCUGGAGGAAUACCGGUGGCGAAGGCGGCAUCCUGGACCGACAUUGACGCUGAGGAGCGAAAGCUAGGGGAGCAAACGGG